UCAGCUCCGGCCUAUGCAUCCUCUACGUAGGGGACCGAUGCAAAUAAGUGAAUGAUCCAGAAGAACAAAAAAAUAAAAGAAAGCAAAAAGGCAACUCCGAUAUAGGUGACCCUCACAAAGUCAUUUAAACCAAAGAAUUGUAAAAAAUUGCUACAAAAAGAAAAAGAAAAAGAAAAAGAAAAGCAGUACUCACUGUUAGUUGGUUCAGAGGUAU
rnacentral:lncRNA from 1 species